rnacentral:rRNA from 1 species
GCAAGUCGAACGGUAACGACAAAACAAUCCCUUCGGGGUGCGAUUUUGCGCGACGAGUGGCGGACGGGUGAGUAAUGCUUAGGAAUCUGCCCAGUAGCGGGGGAUAGCUCGGAGAAAUCCGAAUUAAUACCGCAUACGCCCUACGGGGGAAAGCAGGGGAUUUUCGGACCUUGCACUAUUGGAUGAGCCUAAGUCAGAUUAGCUUGUUGGUGGGGUAAAAGCCUACCAAGGCGACGAUCUGUAGCUGGUCUGAGAGGACGAUCAGCCACACUGGGACUGAGACACGGCCCAGACUCCUACGGGAGGCAGCAGUGGGGAAUAUUGGACAAUGGGGGCAACCCUGAUCCAGCAAUGCCGCGUGUGUGAAGAAGGCCUGCGGGUUGUAAAGCACUUUCAGUAAGGAAGAAAUCCUCAGGGUUAAUACCCCUGUGGCUUGACAUUACUUACAGAAGAAGCACCGGCUAACUCCGUGCCAGCAGCCGCGGUAAUACGGAGGGUGCGAGCGUUAAUCGGAAUUACUGGGCGUAAAGCGCGCGUAGGUGGCUUGGUCAGUCGGAUGUGAAAGCCCCGGGCUUAACCUGGGAAUUGCAUUCGAUACUGCCUGGCUAGAGUAUGAUAGAGGAAAGUGGAAUUCCCGGUGUAGCGGUGAAAUGCGUAGAUAUCGGGAGGAACAUCAGUGGCGAAGGCGACUUUCUGGAUCAAUACUGACACUGAGGUGCGAAAGCGUGGGUAGCAAACAGGAUUAGAUACCCUGGUAGUCCACGCCCUAAACUAUGUCAACUAGCCGUUGGGUUCAUUUAAGGACUUAGUGGCGCAGCUAACGCGUUAAGUUGACCGCC